UACGUAGGGGGCAAGCGUUGUCCGGAAUCAUUGGGCGUAAAGAGCGUGUAGGCGGCCCGAUAAGUCCGCUGUGAAAGUCCAGGGCUCAACCCUGGAAUGCCGGUGGAUACUGUCGGGCUCGAGUCCGGAAGAGGUGAGUGGGAAUUCCUGGUGUAGCGGUGGAAUGCGCAGAUAUCAGGAGGAACACCAAUAGCGAAGGCAGCUCGCUGGGACGGUACUGACACUAAGGCGCGAAAGCGUGGGGAGCGAACAGG
rnacentral:rRNA from 1 species